UACGUGUGAAGAGCUCAUGUCCUUCAGCAUGAUGAGCGGAGCUGACUCUAAACCAUCUAUAUUAUUAUUAGAUACAGCAACAUUCAUGCUGAAAGAAAUGUUUUAGUGGGGGAUUUCCAAGAAACAGGGUGCAUUUUCACACCUGCCUCUUUUCACAUCAAGAAAUAUCAGUCCAGUGAGCGUCUCAGACACUUUCAGAUCUUCGAGACUCUUUCAUUCACACGAGCUCAAGAACAACACAAAGGAUGAGAUCAGAGGCUCUUCUCUCGCUCCUCUUCAUUCUGGCUCUAAGUGACGGAGCGGAUCGACAGAACAACGGCCGAUAUGCUGAGUUCAAGAAAAAACAUAUUCUCCCAUCUGAUUUCCAAACAGAUAAUGAAGCUGCUUGGGAGAAACACCUAAUGAACAAUGAUCUCUGUGGUAGAACUCCAGUACAAUCCUUCAUUAAAGACAGUGAAGAAAAUAUUAAAGAAAUCUGCAAUGGCUCUGCUUCUAAAACAAAAGAUAACUAUUACAAAAGUAAAAAUCUCUUCCAAGUGUUCAAUAUUAAAAGUGAAAACAGUACACCAAAGAUGGUAGAAUUGGGGUGCAAAUUUAGAUGUACUACAGCCAAAUAUCAUGUAAUUGUUAAAUGCGAUAAAUACCUACCUGUGCACUAUCAUGACCAACACAUUGAAAAGAACAAGAAGCCAUACCCUUGCUAUUAUACAGCAUGAUUUGGUUUUAUCACAGUGGGGCUUGAAAUGGUGCAUUCAUUAAAAAUGUUGCUAUGCCACAUGCAUGCUUAAAUGAUAUAAUUGUUUCAGAUUUAUUUGCAUUACGCAGUAUUAUAAAAUGAGCUGACCAAAUGUAUGGCUCGAAAGCAAUGUCGCUUUGAAUAAAAUCUCCCAAAUGCAUGAACACAUCUGUUCUUUUGUGAAAUCAUUCUGAUUAUCUUUGAGAAACAAGCUAUGCUUUUCAUUUCCUCAUCACAUCCGAAGUCUCGUUCUGUCAGACCCGCACAACUUCUCACAUGUGGCUGUUCAUAAAAACACAUCACUUCAAUUUAUUAAGGCAGAAUCUCAAAGAAGCAAAAAUGCCAAUACAUUUUGCACAAUGGAAAGAAGCAAAAACAAUUAAGAGUGUGUUUUCACUCUUGCCUCUUUUCAACCUUAUCCGCAUCAGUCCUUUAAUUCACACGAGCUCAAGAACAACACAAGAGUAAUUCUGCAUUCAGUACAAAUGUGGUUAAAAUGUAAACAGUUUAGAUACUGAAGGGUCUAAAUAUAUAUAAUAUGCAUCUGAUAAGUUUGACUAUAAUUUUGUUAUAGUACCAUAUAGUUCAGUAUUUUGCUGAGGACCCUUUGCAUCAAGAUAUGAAGCUUCUUUUCAAAGCUUUAGUUUGAGUUAGACCGUGCAGUAAAUGCUGACGUCAAACGGUUCACGAGGGAAGAAACCUUGUCAAGACAACUUCACACGCUCUUAUUCUUUCACAGCACACAAUACUGAAGAGCAAGAGACUCGUCUAAACAGUCGCUCUAAUGAACAGGAUGAGAGCGGUGGUUUUGCUCUUGCUCUCUUUCACACUCAGUGAUGGACUGAAUAAUGUCAGUUUCAGCAACGAUCGACUGGAGAUGUUUUCAGACAUUUCUUUUAACUGGGCACAACCCUGCCAGAGAUCUCGGGAUAACAACGCAUAUGAUCAUUUUAGACAGAGACACAUUCUCUCGCGUCAGUUCAACACCAGACGGCCAAGCGCCUGGGCAGAUUAUCUCACGGGAACGAAUCUUUGCGGCAGAACUACUUUACAAUCCUUCCUCCAUAAAAACAACAUCGAUAGCAUUAAGAGAAUCUGCAACGGACGAGGCGUCAGAGACAGAGGAAACUUGUGCAUCAGUAGGAGGACAUUCACAGUGUACAUUGUUGAAAGCUUUUUGAGAAAUGGACGUUGUGAAGUUAAUAGACUUCAUGAUGGUAAAUAUUACGUGGUUGUUGCUUGUGAGGUCAUUGAAAACCGAUGUUUGCCUGUGCACUAUGAGAGACAACGUGACACUGCUCCGUCCCCAAGAGGUCAGAUCUGCAGACCGCAGGCAGAGUUUUAGAAAUCUUUAAUCAUUAAUUAUAUUGUUGCUAUGCUACAUGCAUGUUUAAACUGGAUAUGAUUCCAGACGCUUCUCAGUAAAAGCUUUCUUAGCAGAGAACAAUUUGGUUUUAUGAUCAAAUGUGAA